GCCCAGACCACUGGAGAGGGAAGAUGUAAGCUGCCCCACUGGAAAAGGAGAGCUGAAGUCUUCACACGUUAUAAAUACCUGUGAACCACGUUUGCAAUAGGAUAAAUGUUUGGAGAGAAUUUAGGAGCUGGCUAAGUGGUAGAGAUGGAAAGGGGUUUGUUCCAGUUGGAGACGUCUCAUUAUAUGGGUGCUGUAGUGUGGAUGAUGAACUCUGCGGUACUUUCAACACAGACAGUGUGGUCGAACAUUCGACAGGAUCCUACAGAUCCCAUAGGAGCCGUUCCACAGUGAAGCGAGUGAGGCUGUGUGCCGGGCUCACUCUUUUCCAAUCUGUCAUCUGCUUGGAUCUGUGAGCGUCUUGGAAGACUCUCUCUGGCUUCUCCCGAAAGGUGGCACGCAUCCAACAUCCUCAGAAGAAUUCAGGAUUGUCAUGUGAUAGAAAUUCUUGAGAUUUUGUAGCUGGUGGUGACGGUUGGCCUCGAAUACUGAACAAAUGCGCUCUGCAAACAGACACGUGGAGAGCGGCAGUAAAGCUGGUAGCAAGAUCUGCAGACCUGUCUCCACAGUCCCGGGCAUCCAGCCAAUACCAUAAUCAGCCAGGUGAGUGCCCAUACCACACCCCCACACCCCCACACAAUCAACCCCCUUGGUGCUCGGUGCUAGGUGUUCGGUGCUCAUAACUUCUGUUGAGAGAGCUGGGCAGAGCGCAGGAUUCUUUGUGUGGUUUCAGGGAAGCUCCCCUCCAAGUUUGGGGUACCAGAGCCCCUGUUGAUGCAGUCACGUGGGCUCCGUGUCCUCUGGAUCUCAGCUUCACUUCCUGGAAGCCAAAACGCUCUCUGGCCCUGGCUUUAAGAAGCCCAUACAACAGAGGGGUCUGACCCCAGGACCCUUUCCUCUCAGCCUGGGAAACCAGAACGGAAAACAACGGAAAUCCGUGGAGCAAAGGAUCCAGGCCAGAGUCACGGGGCCUCCGGACAGCACCUCGGUGCUAAGGUUGACAUCCAGGGCCUGGACUGGUCAGGUACAGAGCGACCAGAGACUUGGAACAGCAGGGUGCGAGGGCGAGGCUGGCCAGCUUCCCCCAGUCUGCGGAUCCCUCAUUAGGCUGGCGCAGAGACUGAAAAAUGUACGUCUCCAUCUAUUUCUGGCUUCUAAAUGCGCGAAGGAAAUAAGUCGCUUUAUUAUUUUAUUUUUGUAAAGUUGAAGACAGAGACAGAUGCCCCCUAGAGCGCGCGUAUGCUCGCUCUAAAAAGUCCCGGCUCUGCUGGGGAGUCUUCGAGAGGAACGCAGCAUCAAGGACAAAUAGGUUGUCCCCUCUAAAUCUACGGGAAGAGCACAGGCAAUGGUAGGAAUUGUUAGCACUUCCACAUGGAGAUGUGGGAAAUAAAACCAGGGAA